rnacentral:lncRNA from 1 species
AUUAAUAAUUCAAAAAUAAAUUCCAAAAACAACUACAUCAUAUAUUAUAAAUUUAUACAUAAAUACAUACAAACUUCCAGUAACAUUACAUAAACAGCUCACGUAACAUACAGCUACAACAGUUAAUGGUUAUAACAUCAUACCCAUAUGUCACUAAUGGUAGUAAGGUCUAACUUGUUGAUUACAUCAAGCACGGAAGUAAGAAUAAAUUUUGUCCAGCUUCUAUGCUUGGUAUACAUAAACUUCUUUGUGAUAAGCAGCAUAAAGAAGAUUGAGUUAUUUUUCAAUUAUAUUCAUGUGUAUUAUUUUUGUGCUUGCCUUAAGACUAUUUUCAGUAGUGACAGCAAUGUUUUUAGGCUGUGAUUCACUUUAAGACUAUAUUUGCUUUGUAGCAAUAAUCUGAAAUCUAACCUGCUGUAUUAGCAAAAUAUGGCUGUAAUAGAAUUACCUGUAUAAUUGUAUAUAAGCCAAAAAAUUUUUCUCAUAAA